UUGUAUAACCCGUAAAACGGUUCAUAGUCAAAUCAUUUACAAAUUACAAUUUUUCGAUCUAAUUAAGGAAAUUAGAGUUCAUCGGAUUGUAACUGCACAAAUCUAUUAAUCUGGCGUGAGUUUUUGUUCGUUUGAAGGAUUUGGACGUUUGGGUAUCCAUCAGCAACUGGAAGUCUGAAAUAAUCACCAGUUUGUGUAGUUAUCGUGGUGAAAAAGAUGGGGCUCUGGUUUGAACUAAGAAAUCUGCGUGUAAAAUAAUGGAGUACGAUGAACCAAUCAAGUUGAUGGAGAAGGACGGAUCGUUGUUUAGUCAACUGGUGAAAGAAUAUUGGUCACAUGUCCAUUCUGCAGGAGGGUAGGCCAAUGAUAUUCUCUAUGAGCAACAAAAUAAAAGGGAGGGG